rnacentral:rRNA from 1 species
GUGGGGAAUUUUGGACAAUGGGCGCAAGCCUGAUCCAGCAAUGCCGCGUGUGUGAAGAAGGCCUUCGGGUUGUAAAGCACUUUUGUCCGGAAAGAAAUGGCCUGGGUUAAUACCCCGGGUCGAUGACGGUACCGGAAGAAUAAGCACCGGCUAACUACGUGCCAGCAGCCGCGGUAAUACGUAGGGUGCGAGCGUUAAUCGGAAUUACUGGGCGUAAAGCGUGCGAAGGCGGCGAUGCAAGACAGAUGUGAAAUCCCCGGGCUCAACCUGGGAACUGCAUUUGUGACUGCAUGGCUAGAGUGCGGCAGAGGGGGGUGGAAUUCCGCGUGUAGCAGUGAAAUGCGUAGAGAUGCGGAGGAACACCGAUGGCGAAGGCAGCCCCCUGGGAUGACACUGACGCUCAUGCACGAAAGCGUGGGGAGCAAACAGGAUUAGAAACCCGGGUAGUCC